rnacentral:rRNA from 1 species
UACGUAGGGUGCAAGCGUUGUCCGGAAUUAUUGGGCGUAAGGAGCUUGUAGGCGGUCUGUCGCGUCUGCUGUGAAAAUCCGGGGCUCAACCCCGGACUUGCAGUGGGUACGGGCAGACUAGAGUGUGGUAGGGGAGACUGGAAUUCCUGGUGUAGCGGUGAAAUGCGCAGAUAUCAGGAGGAACACCGGUGGCGAAGGCGGGUCUCUGGGCCGAUACUGACGCUGAGGAGCGAAAGCGUGGGGAGCGAACAGG